AGUCGAGGGGCAGCAUUUUAGUUUGCUUGCAACUGAAGAUGGCGACCGGCGCACGGGUGAGUAACACGUAUCCAACCUGCCGAUAACUCCGGAAUAGCCUUUCGAAAGAAAGAUUAAUACCGGAUGGCAUACGAAUAUCGCAUGAUAUUUUUAUUAAAGAAUUUCGGUUAUCGAUGGGGAUGCGUUCCAUUAGUUUGUUGGCGGGGUAACGGCCCACCAAGACUACGAUGGAUAGGGGUUCUGAGAGGAAGGUCCCCCACAUUGGAACUGAGACACGGUCCAAACUCCUACGGGAGGCAGCAGUGAGGAAUAUUGCUCAAUGGGCGCGAGCCUGAACCAGCCAAGUAGCGUGAAGGAUGAAGGCUCUAUGGGUCGUAAACUUCUUUUAUAUGGGAAUAAAGUUUUCCACGUGUGGAAUUUUGUAUGUACCAUAUGAAUAAGGAUCGGCUAACUCCGUGCCAGCAGCCGCGGUAAUACGGAGGAUCCGAGCGUUAUCCGGAUUUAUUGGGUUUAAAGGGAGCGUAGGUGGAUUGUUAAGUCAGUUGUGAAAGUUUGCGGCUCAACCGUAAAAUUGCAGUUGAAACUGGCAGUCUUGAGUACAGUAGAGGUGGGCGGAAUUCGUGGUGUAGCGGUGAAAUGCUUAGAUAUCACGAAGAACUCCGAUUGCGAAGGCAGCUCACUAGACUGUUACUGACACUGAUGCUCGAAAGUGUGGGUAUCAAACAGGAUUAGAUACCCUGGUAGUCCACACAGUAAACGAUGAAUACUCGCUGUUUGCGAUAUA
rnacentral:rRNA from 1 species